GCUCUGGGACUGGAGCCUUCUAAACCUUCCUGCCCCUUCGCCUAAAUGGCUGAGCCUUUUCUGUACUCCUAAAUGGACAUUGGAAAUAGUACUCAAAAGCAUGAGUUGCCUUUUUUUUUUCAUUGUAUUUGCCUCUCAGAAGGCUUUCUUUUAGAUGGACUUAUGGAAGAGACUUUCUUCUCUGGCCCGGCAAGAAAACUGCUCUCUGGUUUACAGAACUUAGAUGUAACGGGGAGCCUUCCUUCCACCAGCACUGAAGAAGCACUUCCUUUGAAAGAAGAUUCUGGAAAUGUAGUGGAAGACCUUGCGACCUCACAUCUAUCACCUGUCUACCCCAUUCCUCCUCAGGAGUACCUGGUAAAGACAUGUGGAGAAGAGCUAGAAAGUGAGAAUGGAAUCCCAUUUAUCCACAGUAGCCCAACUAUAGCUAUUAAGGAGUUGUAGUACUGUUCACUGCUUCUGCCUGUGGUGUCUAUUUCUUCCCUCUUUGUCAAAGUCACUUUCAGGUGCCUUAACCUCUUCCAGAUCUAAGCUUUCUGACUGACAUGUUUAAGAAAGUGAAAUAAAAAUGUGUAUACUACCCUA
rnacentral:lncRNA from 1 species